CGAUCCUGGAUGGUGACA
rnacentral:misc_RNA from 1 species